AGUGGCGGACGGGUGAGUAACGCGUAAGAAUCUAACUUCAGGACGGGGACAACAGUGGGAAACGACUGCUAAUACCCGAUGUGCCGCGAGGUGAAACCUAAUUGGCCUGAAGAAGAGCUUGCGUCUGAUUAGCUAGUUGGUGGGGUAAGAGCCUACCAAGGCGACGAUCAGUAGCUGGUCUGAGAGGAUGAGCAGCCACACUGGGACUGAGACACGGCCCAGACUCCUACGGGAGGCAGCAGUGGGGAAUUUUCCGCAAUGGGCGAAAGCCUGACGGAGCAACGCCGCGUGAGGGAGGAAGGUCUUUGGAUUGUAAACCUCUUUUCUCAAGGAAGAAGUUCUGACGGUACUUGAGGAAUCAGCCCCGGCUAACUCCGUGCCAGCAGCCGCGGUAAUACGGGGGAGGCAAGCGUUAUCCGGAAUUAUUGGGCGUAAAGCGUCCGCAGGUGGUCAGCCAAGUCUGCCGUCAAAUCAGGUUGCUUAACGACCUAAAGGCGGUGGAAACUGGCAGACUAGAGAGCAGUAGGGGUAGCAGGAAUUCCCAGUGUAGCGGUGAAAUGCGUAGAGAUUGGGAAGAACAUCGGUGGCGAAAGCGUGCUACUGGGCUGUAUCUGACACUCAGGGACGAAAGCUAGGGGAGCGAAAGGGAUUAGAUACCCCUGUAGUCCUAGCCGUAAACGAUGGAUACUAGGCGUGGCUU
rnacentral:rRNA from 1 species